rnacentral:rRNA from 1 species
AUGAACGCUAGCUACAGGCUUAACACAUGCAAGUCGAGGGGCAGCAUGGUCUUAGCUUGCUAAGACUGAUGGCGACCGGCGCACGGGUGAGUAACACGUAUCCAACCUGCCGUCUACUCUUGGACAGCCUUCUGAAAGGAAGAUUAAUACAAGAUGGCAUCAUGAGUCCGCAUGUUCACAUGAUUAAAGGUAUUCCGGUAGACGAUGGGGAUGCGUUCCAUUAGAUAGUAGGCGGGGUAACGGCCCACCUAGUCUUCGAUGGAUAGGGGUUCUGAGAGGAAGGUCCCCCACAUUGGAACUGAGACACGGUCCAAACUCCUACGGGAGGCAGCAGUGAGGAAUAUUGGUCAAUGGGCGAGAGCCUGAACCAGCCAAGUAGCGUGAAGGAUGACUGCCCUAUGGGUUGUAAACUUCUUUUAUAAAGGAAUAAAGUCGGGUAUGGAUACCCGUUUGCAUGUACUUUAUGAAUAAGGAUCGGCUAACUCCGUGCCAGCAGCCGCGGUAAUACGGAGGAUCCGAGCGUUAUCCGGAUUUAUUGGGUUUAAAGGGAGCGUAGAUGGAUGUUUAAGUCAGUUGUGAAAGUUUGCGGCUCAACCGUAAAAUUGCAGUUGAUACUGGAUAUCUUGAGUGCAGUUGAGGCAGGCGGAAUUCGUGGUGUAGCGGUGAAAUGCUUAGAUAUCACGAAGAACUCCGAUUGCGAAGGCAGCCUGCUAAGCUGCAACUGACAUUGAGGCUCGAAAGUGUGGGUAUCAAACAGGAUUAGAUACCCUGGUAGUCCACACGGUAAACGAUGAAUACUCGCUGUUUGCGAUAUACUGCAAGCGGCCAAGCGAAAGCGUUAAGUAUUCCACCUGGGGAGUACGCCGGCAACGGUGAAACUCAAAGGAAUUGACGGGGGCCCGCACAAGCAGUGGAGUAUGUGGUUUAAUUCGACGCAACGCGAAGAACCUUACCAAGUCUUGACAUCCCUUGACGAUGCUGGAAACAGUAUUUCUCUUCGGAGCAAGGAGACAGGUGGUGCAUGGUUGUCGUCAGCUCGUGCCGUGAGGUGUCGGCUUAAGUGCCAUAACGAGCGCAACCCUUGUUGUCAGUUACUAACAGGUUCCGCUGAGGACUCUGACAAGACUGCCAUCGUAAGAUGUGAGGAAGGUGGGGAUGACGUCAAAUCAGCACGGCCCUUACGUCCGGGGCUACACACGUGUUACAAUGGGGGGUACAGAAGGCCGCUACCACGCGAGUGGAUGCCAAUCCCCAAAACCUCUCUCAGUUCGGACUGGAGUCUGCAACCCGACUCCACGAAGCUGGAUUCGCUAGUAAUCGCGCAUCAGCCACGGCGCGGUGAAUACGUUCCCGGGCCUUGUACACACCGCCCGUCAAGCCAUGGGAGCCGGGGGUACCUGAAGUGCGUAACCGCGAGGAGCGCCCUAGGGUAAAACUGGUGACUGGGGCU